AGUUCCUUCGGGAACGGAUUAGCGGCGGACGGGUGAGUAACACGUGGGUAACCUGCCUCAUAGAGGGGAAUAGCCUUCCGAAAGGAAGAUUAAUACCGCAUAAGAUUGUAGUGCCGCAUGGUACAGCAAUUAAAGGAGUAAUCCGCUAUGAGAUGGACCCGCGUCGCAUUAGCUAGUUGGUGAGGUAACGGCUCACCAAGGCGACGAUGCGUAGCCGACCUGAGAGGGUGAUCGGCCACAUUGGGACUGAGACACGGCCCAUACUCCUACGGGAGGCAGCAGUGGGGAAUAUUGCACAAUGGGGGAAACCCUGAUGCAGCAACGCCGCGUGAGUGAUGACGGUCUUCUGAUUGUAAAGCUCUGUCUUCAGGGACGAUAAUGACGGUACCUGAGGAGGAAGCCACGGCUAACUACGUGCCAGCAGCCGCGGUAAUACGUAGGUGGCAAGCGUUGUCCGGAUUUACUGGGCGUAAAGGGAGCGUAUGUGGAUAUUUAAGUGGGAUGUGAAAUACUCGGGCUUAACCUGGGUGCUGCAUUCCAAACUGAAUAUCUAGAGUGCACGAGAGGAAAGUAGAAUUCCUAGUGUAGCGGUGAAAUGCGUAGAGAUUAGGAAGAAUACCAGUGGCGAAGGCGACUUUCUGGACUGUAACUGACACUGAGGCUCGAAAGCGUGGGGAGCAACAGGAUUAGAUACCCUGGUAGUCCACGCCGUAACGAUGAAUACUAGGUCGUCGGGGUUGUCAUGACCUCUGUUGCCGGCGCUAACG
rnacentral:rRNA from 1 species